CAAGGCACGGCCUCACAUGACAGCUGAGCCCCGAGAGUCUCACCUUUCCCUUGUCACCACUUGGGGGUUGGGGUGCUUCUGGCACCUGGUGGGUGAGGCCAAGGAUACUGCUGAACAUCCUUCAAUCCACAGACCAGCCUCCACUACAAAGAGUUCUCCUGCUCCCCUGUCAACCGUGCCCAGGUGGAGAAACCCCGCAUCACCCACUCAGGAUUCCACCUGUGCCUGGGCUGAGGGGAGGCCUCCAAGGGCUCCUGGGCCUCCGAGGAGUGGAAAUCAAGAACAAAACCAAGACUCCAUCCAAAAGGAAAGGGUGUCCGCCAUAGGCCCCUUAGAUAGAGCUUCUGGUGAGGAAUUGUAGCAGUGGAGAUGGUUAAAUAAGAAAUAGCUGAUUCGCACCCCGGCUGCACGUUAGAGUCGCCUAGGGAGCAUUUCAAAACUCAGACCAGGCAGCACCCAGGCCCACUGGUCAGGUCCCGCAGGUGGUCCAAACAGGUGGUUUUAAGCUUGCAUGUGCAUCAAAUCUGGGGGCUGCCUUCCAGAAGGACUGCCUACAGCUGCUCAUCGGUGACGGAAUUCGCCAAGCAAAUUAGAUGGGGUUUUGCCAACCUUCUGUCAACCCCUCCGACACUCCCGACUCACACAGUCGGAAUAGGUGCACCUUAUCUAGCAUUCAGUUCAAUUCACGUGUCGUUUGCUCUAAUGGCGGGAUGGUGCUGCCACUGUUCGAAUAAAAGGAUGUCGGAUUCCCUGACAGGCGAUGUCUUAUUACCCAGAUUCAACUGCAGGUUUACCUCACGUGUCACUGCUGCCGGCCGCAGGCGCGGUGGGAGCUGCCUCCACCUGCACCGUCUCGUUCACCCCCCAGAGCCCGGAAGGCUUGCACAUCAGAAAGGUUUCCAGCUGGAAUUUUCCUCCCUCUACUCAGCCUUCAAAUACUCCAUUCCUAAACCACGUACCUCUCCCCUUUUAUCGGUCUUCAGAAGUUGCCGUCCAAACCCAGUGAGUAUUUCCAGAAAGAAACUUUAAAUAUUAAACAUCUUAAAACUCAAGGCCCGUUUGGAAGAAAGCACAGUGAGCUUUGAUGGGAGGUGGAUAAUCAUCAGGGAGUCAUUUCUGGAAAUGUAGAUAAUACGGUUGUUUCUUUUAAUGCCACAUUCUCCUGGGAGGAUGGGAAGACCAUUUGACUGAUUCUGCUCCAAAAAUCCUACUGAAGCAAAGGCUGAGCCCAAGUUAUUUGCGGAACAGCAGCCUGGGCCUGGCCUGGCGCACGUAUCGCAAAGCUGGAAAGGCAGCAACGCAAUGUCCUCAAAAGAAGCCGGUCUCCCCUCGAUGGGCAGACAGCUCUGAUGGGAGCCAAACUCGGAUGUUCCUCAGUUAGAACCUGUGUUCAUCGGGCCCAGAAGGAAUGGGGAAGAUUCUGUGGAAACCAGCUGUCAAAUGUAAGCUGUCUCGCUAGCAGAAUUUAAAAAGAAGGUUGGCCUCGGGGCCUGCGGGCCCUCAUCACUGGCCAGACCUUCCAUCAGAACCCUCAGUCUGCGAGGCUGAUCAUAUGAAACAUACAUUGUGUGCCAGCAUCUUCCACAGGAAAUACCGUGAGAUUCUCUCAGUGGGUCAAUCUCAUUUUCUCCAGCGCAGACGAGGCUUAGCAGUGACCUGUGACCCAACUUUGUCUUCCCCAUAAUGAGAAGCAGGCCCUUUGGACCCGCUGGCACAGCUGAGCCGGUAUUUCUGGAAUCGCUGACUGAGAAAACUCACCCCACCGUGAACUCUGCCAGAAAUUCCUCGGGUUUACUCACGUUCAUCUGUAUUCCAGAACAGUCCUCAGCAAGAUUGGCGAGUGGUGCUUCAGCAAGAACAUCCGAGCGCCUGGGUGGGAGUGGGACCUUUCGGACCCUGUCAGACGAGGAGUUUGCCCUCCAGCCCGAGGAGUCGAGGGCGUGAAGAGCCUCACUCCACGAAGAUUUGAAUCACUUUAAAUCAAUUUGCUUCUUAUUAAAAUGUACUUCAAUAAAAAAUAAUUUCAACUCUU